GACGAACGCUGGCGGCGUGCCUAAUACAUGCAAGUAGAACGCAGUUGCGAACGGGUGAGUAACGCGUAGGUAACUGCCUCAUAGCGGGGGAUAACUAUUUGAAACGAUAGCUAAUACCGCAUACUGUGAGAUGGACCUGCGUUGUAUUAUCUAGUUGGUGAGGUAAAGGCUCACCAAGGCGACGAUACAUAGCCGACCUGGGAGGGGGAUCGGGCAAACUGUGACUGGGACAGGGCCCAGGCCCCAACGGGAGGCAGCAGUAGGGGUUAUUCGGCAAGGGACGGAGGUCUGACCAAGCACCGGCGAGUGAGUGAAGAAGGUUUUCGGAUCGUAAAGCUCUGUUUUUAGAGAAACGGUAACUAACCAGAAAGGGACGGCUAACUACGUGCCAGCAGCCGCGGUAAUAC
rnacentral:rRNA from 1 species